GUGAGUUGCCCACAGGCCAAGUGGUGGCUGUAGGAGGUCAUUGAGUUCAAGCCUCCUUGUUGGGACUGCAACCAGGAAGAAGCCUUUUGGGGUAGAGGAGGUUAUAGAAUAAGAGAUCAGGGAGGGGCUGUCUUAGGGGCAGUCAUAAAGAGAUCCGGGAGAAAGCUCAUCGCCCUUGUCAAGGAAAUGCUUCGUGGACCAGUCCCUGAAAGGCCUCUGAAGAAUCCCACGUGUUCUCACAAUAGAGCAGGCCUGCCACUCACAACUCACCGUCCCCUAGUAUUCCACGGCAGCAGACAGAAGAUGCCCCCCUUUCCACUGCCAGCCUUCUCCUUGCGGCUCCCUGCAACAUACCCCCACGCUGCAGAGCAGACUCAGCUCAGAAGGGAGGGCGCAGGCUGCGAAGGACGCGAAACUGAAGUUUCUAAUUCGGCUGGGCUUUUGGCUACCUGGAAGUGAGCCUUUAGUGCCAAGGGCCAAGUACAGGGAAAACAGUAAACACCUCAAGAGCCAGCGGUAACUCCUGCACUAGGCAUUAUGACUCCAAAGAGACGCCAUCUCUCGUGGAAGGGGGUCUUCUCCAGGUACGCAAAUGACAUUUAAAGGCCACACUGAAUUGAAUUCCUGAAGGGAUAUCCUUCUCAAAGAAAAUUUAUGUCCAGAAUUAUAAAACCUGAAUGCAAAUGACUAAGAUAAAGCACAACAUAUCUUGUGUCCCACUUGUCAAAAACUUUGUCAAGGAGAUUUUUGACUAAAUGACUCAUUCUAUAUGCAUGUCCUCUACCACAUACCACUCUAAAGAUACAUGUGAAACAGAGGCACAAAUGAGCCCACGAACAGAGGUCCAGUACGUGCCUCACACGGAUGCAUGUAUACGGGAGUGUGAAAUUUGC
ensembl:lncRNA